UCCAUCGUGAGGUGGAAUCUGAAGGAAGCCGAAGGCAAAGCACUGGUCCGACGAACAGGAAUCGCAUACGAGGCGACGGCAGUGGGUGAGAAGGCGUCUAUCUUCAAAGCCCGGUACUUGCACGGGAGCUGUCGGCGUAGAUGCGGCGGGCAUAAGUGUGAAGGUCGCGCGC
rnacentral:ncRNA from 1 species